GACGAACGCUGGCGGCGUGCCUAAUACAUGCAAGUCGAGCGGACCAAAGGGAGCUUGCUCCUGGAGGUCAGCGGCGAACGGGUGAGUAACACGUGGGCAACCUGCCUGUAAGACUGGGAUAACAUCGAGAAAUCGGUGCUAAUACCGGAUAAUAAAAAGAACUGCAUGGUUCUUUUUUGAAAGAUGGUUUCGGCUAUCACUUACAGAUGGGCCCGCGGCGCAUUAGCUAGUUGGUGAGGUAACGGCUCACCAAGGCAACGAUGCGUAGCCGACCUGAGAGGGUGAUCGGCCACACUGGGACUGAGACACGGCCCAGACUCCUACGGGAGGCAGCAGUAGGGAAUCUUCCGCAAUGGACGAAAGUCUGACGGAGCAACGCCGCGUGAGUGAUGAAGGUUUUCGGAUCGUAAAACUCUGUUGUUAGGGAAGAACAAGUGCCGUUCGAAAGGGCGCACCUUGACGGUACCUAACGANAAAGCCACGGCUAACUACGUGCCAGCAGCCGCGGUAAAG
rnacentral:rRNA from 1 species